GCUGGAGCGCUCGCCCAGAACCAGGCUUAUGAAUUAGCCCACCCCAACAUCCACCCCAUCUAUGAUCUGCUGGAGCACGUGAAGGAACCUGACCUGCAGACCCAAAGCUGCAGGAUCUCCACAACACAGGACAACAACUGGAUAGCCAAGAGGAGUCCUAGGGAGAGCCCAGCAUUGACAGUGUAAUAGAAACUGGAGACCUCCAACCUGACCAAUGACUCUUUGCAAUGAGCACCUGCAAGUAAAGAUAUAUGGACAAAAGGGUUUAUUGAGUGACUCACUGUGUCACACUGCAGCUUCCAUGGUGAGAAUUUUAAUUUUCUCCUUUUUAUCUCUUAAAUUUUGUUUUAUUGGAGGGGGGGUGUGGGCAUUGUAGAGGCAGAGGAUGGAUGCAAAGGGAUGGGGAAAUAUGAAUGGGAUCAAGAUGAAUAAUGUGAAAGACACAUUGAAUACAUAAAAAAAGGAAGUAAAAAAGAAAGAAAGAAAAGACAGCACCUCUGUGUCACCAGCCUUCACAGCAGGUGUCAGAUGCACUAGAAUUCUUACCAUCGGAGACACUUUGACCAGACUCGAGAGUGAGCCGUUUCCUCCACUUACACAUGGGCAAACUGAGGCAUGGAGAGGGUAACAUGCCUAGAGUGUCAUGUUGCUCAACCAGAUGUUUUUGUUUGAGUCCAUGUGCCCAUACUUUCCCCUGCCUUUCUGUCCAGCCUCACUACCAACUCCGUGCAGCUCUGUGCAACUCCAGCAAGGGGCUGUAUUGUAGCUCCUCAGCGGCUCGUGAGAAUUCCACUCUGGGGAGGCCUUAGCACUUGGGCCUUCAGAGCCUGUGCUAGCAGACCCUGUAGAACCUUUCUAGACACCGAACAUCAAGAACUCAUCAGGAAGCACUGAGCUGCAGGGCUGGGGAGAUGGCCCAGAGGUUAACGCACUCGAUCCGAGUUUGAGUCUCCAGAACCCGGGUAAAUUCUCUGUGGACGUGGAGGCUGCCUGUGGGUCUAGCCUUGGGAGGAGGAGACAGAGAUCCCCAGAACACACUGAGUAUUGAGACUAGCCAAUCAGCGAACUCUAGGAUUGACUGGAAGACCCUGACUCAAUGACAACAUGGAAGGGUGAUGGAGGAACGUUCUUGGCAUCAAUCUCAGGCCUCCACACGCACACAUAUGCAUUCAAACCCACCCAUGUGUCGUCAUCCACAUGCAAACGUGUACACACACACACACACAAAUGGAAAAUAAAUUUAAAAACACCUCCUUUAUGAGUAUCCAAGAAUGUCCUUAUGGCUCCCUGCUUGGAAUCUGAGCCCUGGGGGACCGGGAAAGCUCUUUUUUUCUGGCCCCUCCCCCACCUUUCACACCCAUGUCUUUGAGGCGCUGAAAGGCAUGCGCAGAUGUCAGGCGCUGAAAGGCAUGCGCAGAUGUCAGGCGCUGCUCUCAUCUGCGUGUUCACGGGCCCACCCCUCAGUUCCCAUGGCAGCCUGGCACAUGCUGCCUGCACCUUUUUUUUUUUUUUCCACACUGCAGUCUGUCUGGCAACUUGUCUGGCUCCCAACUGUGCCGUGGAUGGCUGGCGGGCUGGGCCGGGCCCUUUCUCCACACCUGGCUGGGCACCUGGCCCAACAUAGGUGCUCAGGGACUGUAGGAAGAGUGGCACACUUUGGGUCCAAACGAAAGCCUCCAUUUUGAAAUGAAGUUGUACCACAGUGUCUUUUGGAACGUGAGUGAGUGAAGGGAAAAAGGAAAGGAGAGUCAAUAUUGAUUUCCAUGCAUAUGGAAAUCACAUAGAGAUGCUGUCUUAGCCCUACUCGAAUGGCUGUCAUAACAAAUAACAAACGCCGACAAGGAUGAGGGCGGAGGCACCUUUCACCCACGAGUAGUGGGAAUGCACACUAGCAGAGCCCCUAUGGCAAACAAUAUGGAGCUUCCUCGAACAAGAAAUAGAACUGCCGUAUGGCUGAGCUGCUCCGUCCCUGGAAGUACAUCUGAAGGACUCGGAGUCAACCUACUUCAGAGACACUUGCUCACCCUCAUGUUAUUCACUACAGCCAAGCUAUGCAGUCAGCCUAGGUCUCCAUCAAGAGAAGAACGAACAGGGAAAAUGUUCCUCGGGGAAGCAGCCACCUCAGGGACGAGAUGCUUCCGACCACACCCAGGCCUCACCGGCUGUUUGCCCCGCUGCUGCUGACAGUUGCGCUGCUUGCCCAGAGGCACCAAAAUCUUGGCUCCUUGGGAACCUCAUUCCAGGGAAACGCUGAGGAGAACUUGAAAUCAUCAUAAGCAAGCUGCCACAACUUCUUGAUGAAGUUGGAGCUCCAAAUAGAAAUGAAAAAUUUAAAGCAAAAUAAAACGACUUUUCUUUGUGUCAGA